CCAGCAGCCGCGGUAAUACGGAGGGUGCGAGCGUUAAUCGGAAUUACUGGGCGUAAAAGCGCAUGCAGGUGGUUUGUUAAGUCAGAUGUGAAAGCCCGGGGCUCAACCUCGGAAUUGCAUUUGAAACUGGCAGACUAGAGUACUGUAGAGGGGGUAGAAUUUCAGGUGUAGCGGUGAAAAUGCGUAGAGAUCUGAAGGAAUACCGGUGGCGAAGGCGGCCCCCUCGGACAGAUACUGACACUCAGAUGCGAAAGCGUGGGGAGCAAACAGGAUUAGAUACCCUGGUAG
rnacentral:rRNA from 1 species